rnacentral:rRNA from 1 species
UACGGAGGGUGCAAGCGUUAUCCGGAUUCACUGGGUUUAAAGGGUGCGUAGGUGGCUUUGUAAGUCAGUGGUGAAAUCUUAGAGCUUAACUCUAAAACUGCCAUUGAUACUGCUUAGCUUGAAUCAAGUAGAGGUGGAUGGAAUAAUACAUGUAGCGGUGAAAUGCUUAGAUAUGUAUUAGAACACCGAUUGCGAAGGCAGUUCACUAUGCUUGUAUUGACACUGAGGCACGAAAGCGUGGGGGAUCAAACAGG